CAACCUUGAAAUACCACCCUGGCAACCUUGAGGUUCUAACUCGGGUCCGUUAUCCGGAUCGAGGACAGUGUAUGGUGGGUAGUUUGACUGGGGCGGUCUCCUCCUAAAGAGUAACGGAGGAGUACGAAGGUGCGCUCAGACCGGUCGGAAAUCGGUCGUAGAGUAUAAAGGCAAAAGCGCGCUUGACUGCGAGACAGACACGUCGAGCAGGUACGAAAGUAGGUCUUAGUGAUCCGGUGGUUCUGUAUGGAAGGGCCAUCGCUCAACGGAUAAAAGGUACUCCGGGGAUAACAGGCUGAUACCGCCCAAGAGUUCAUAUCGACGGCGGUGUUUGGCACCUCGAUGUCGGCUCAUCACAUCCUGGGGCUGAAGCCGGUCCCAAGGGUAUGGCUGUUCGCCAUUUAAAGUGGUACGCGAGCUGGGUUUAGAACGUCGUGAGACAGUUCGGUCCCUAUCUGCCGUGGACGUUUGAGAUUUGAGAGGGGCUGCUCCUAGUACGAGAGGACCGGAGUGGACGAACCUCUGGUGUUCCGGUUGUCACGCCAGUGGCAUUGCCGGGUAGCUAUGUUCGGGAAAGAUAACCGCUGAAAGCAUCUAAGCGGGAAACUUGCCUCAAGAUGAGAUCUCACUGGGACCUUGAGUCCCCUGAAGGGCCGUCGAAGACUACGACGUUGAUAGGUGGGGUGUGUAAGCGUUGUGAGGCGUUGAGCUAACCCAUACUAAUUGCCCGUGAGGCUUGACCAUAUAACACCCAAACAAUU
rnacentral:rRNA from 1 species